CCUACGGGGGACAGCAGUGAGGAAUAUUGGUCAAUGGACGAGAGUCUGAACCAGCCAAGUAGCGUGAAGGAUGACUGCCCUAUGGGUUGUAAACUUCUUUUAUAGGGGAAUAAAAUGUGCCACGUGUGGGAUUUUGUAUGUACCAUAUGAAUAAGGAUAGGCUAACUCCGUGCCAGCAGACGCGGUAAAACGGAGGAUCCGAGCUUUAUCCGGAUUUAUUGGGUUUACAGGGAGCGUAGGUGGAUUGUUAAGUCAGUUGUGAAAGUUUGCGGCUCAACCGUAAAAUUGCAGUUGAAACUGGCAGUCUUGAGUACAGUAGCGGUGGCCGGAAUUCGUGGUGUAGCGGUUCAAUGCUUAGAUCUCACGAAGAACUCCGAUUGCGAAGGCAGCUCACUGGACUGCACCUGACACUGAGGCUCGAACGUGUGGGUAUCAAACAGGAUUAGCUACCCCUGUAGUC
rnacentral:rRNA from 1 species